rnacentral:rRNA from 1 species
UACGUAGGGGUGCAAGCGUUAAUCGGAAUUACUGGGCGUAAAGCGUGCGCAGGCGGUUUUGUAAGUCUGUCGUGAAAUCCCCGGGCUCAACCUGGGAAUUGCGAUGGAGACUGCAAGGCUAGAAUCUGGCAGAGGGGGGUAGAAUUCCACGUGUAGCAGUGAAAUGCGUAGAGAUGUGGAGGAACACCGAUGGCGAAGGCAGCCCCCUGGGUCAAGAU